UUUGGUUAAGUUAGAAAGGGCGCACGGUGGAUGCCUUGACACUAGGAGUCGAUGAAGGACGGGACUAACGCCGAUAUGCUUCGGGGAGCUGUAAGUAAGCUUUGAUCCGAAGAUUUCCGAAUGGGGAAACCCACCAUACGUAAUGGUAUGGUAUCCUUAUCUGAAUACAUAGGGUAAGGAAGACAGACCCAGGGAACUGAAACAUCUAAGUACCUGGAGGAAGAGAAAGCAAAUGCGAUUUCCUGAGUAGCGGCGAGCGAAACGGAACAUAGCCCAAACCAAGAGGCUUGCCUCUUGGGGUUGUAGGACAUUCUAUACGGAGUUACAAAGGAACGAGGUAGACGAAGCGACCUGGAAAGGUCCGUCGUAGAGGGUAACAACCCCGUAGUCGAAACUUCGUUCUCUCUUGAAUGUAUCCUGAGUACGGCGGAACACGUGAAAUUCCGUCGGAAUCUGGGAGGACCAUCUCCCAAGGCUAAAUACUCCCUAGUGAUCGAUAGUGAACCAGUACCGUGAGGGAAAGGUGAAAAGCACCCCGGAAGGGGAGUGAAAGAGAUCCUGAAACCGUGUGCCUACAAAUAGUCAGAGCCCGUUAACGGGUGAUGGCGUGCCUUUUGUAGAAUGAACCGGCGAGUUACGAUCCCGUGCGAGGUUAAGCUGAAGAGGCGGAGCCGUAGCGAAAGCGAGUCUGAAUAGGGCGUUUAGUACGUGGUCGUAGACCCGAAACCAGGUGAUCUACCCAUGUCCAGGGUGAAGUUCAGGUAACACUGAAUGGAGGCCCGAACCCACGCACGUUGAAAAGUGCGGGGAUGAGGUGUGGGUAGCGGAGAAAUUCCAAUCGAACCUGGAGAUAGCUGGUUCUCCCCGAAAUAGCUUUAGGGCUAGCCUUAAGUGUAAGAGUCUUGGAGGUAGAGCACUGAUUGGACUAGGGGUCCUCAUCGGAUUACCGAAUUCAGUCAAACUCCGAAUGCCAAUGACUUAUCCUUAGGAGUCAGACUGCGAGUGAUAAGAUCCGUAGUCAAAAGGGAAACAGCCCAGACCGCCAGCUAAGGUCCCAAAGUGUGUAUUAAGUGGAAAAGGAUGUGGAGUUGCUUAGACAACUAGGAUGUUGGCUUAGAAGCAGCCACCAUUUAAAGAGUGCGUAAUAGCUCACUAGUCGAGUGACUCUGCGCCGAAAAUGUACCGGGGCUAAAUACACCACCGAAGCUGCGGAUUGAUACCGAAUGGUAUCAGUGGUAGGGGAGCGUUCUAAGGACAGUGAAGUCAGACCGGAAGGACUGGUGGAGUGCUUAGAAGUGAGAAUGCCGGUAUGAGUAGCGAAAGACGGGUGAGAAUCCCGUCCACCGAAUGCCUAAGGUUUCCUGAGGAAGGCUCGUCCGCUCAGGGUUAGUCAGGACCUAAGCCGAGGCCGACAGGCGUAGGCGAUGGACAACAGGUUGAUAUUCCUGUACCACCUCUUUAUCGUUUGAGCAAUGGAGGGACGCAGAAGGAUAGAAGAAGCGUGCGAUUGGUUGUGCACGUCCAAGCAGUUAGGCUGAUAAGUAGGCAAAUCCGCUUAUCGUAAAGGCUGAGCUGUGAUGGGGAAGCUCCUUAUGGAGCGAAGUCUUUGAUUCCCCGCUGCCAAGAAAAGCUUCUAGCGAGAUAAAAGGUGCCUGUACCGCAAACCGACACAGGUAGGCGAGGAGAGAAUCCUAAGGUGUGCGAGAGAACUCUGGUUAAGGAACUCGGCAAAAUGACCCCGUAACUUCGGGAGAAGGGGUGCUUUCUUAACGGAAAGCCGCAGUGAAUAGGCCCAAGCGACUGUUUAGCAAAAACACAGCUCUCUGCGAAGCCGUAAGGCGAAGUAUAGGGGGUGACACCUGCCCGGUGCUGGAAGGUUAAGGAGAGGGGUUAGCGUAAGCGAAGCUCUGAACUGAAGCCCCAGUAAACGGCGGCCGUAACUAUAACGGUCCUAAGGUAGCGAAAUUCCUUGUCGGGUAAGUUCCGACCCGCACGAAAGGUGUAACGAUUUGGGCACUGUCUCAACCAGAGACUCGGUGAAAUUAUAGUACCUGUGAAGAUGCAGGUUACCCGCGACAGGACGGAAAGACCCCGUGGAGCUUUACUGUAGCCUGAUAUUGAAUUUUGGUACAGUUUGUACAGGAUAGGCGGGAGCCUUUGAAACCGGAGCGCUAGCUUCGGUGGAGGCGCUGGUGGGAUACCGCCCUGACUGUAUUGAAAUUCUAACCUACGGGUCUUAUCGACCCGGGAGACAGUGUCAGGUGGGCAGUUUGACUGGGGCGGUCGCCUCCUAAAGUGUAACGGAGGCGCCCAAAGGUUCCCUCAGAAUGGUUGGAAAUCAUUCGUAGAGUGCAAAGGCAUAAGGGAGCUUGACUGCGAGACCUACAAGUCGAGCAGGGACGAAAGUCGGGCUUAGUGAUCCGGUGGUUCCGCAUGGAAGGGCCAUCGCUCAACGGAUAAAAGCUACCCCGGGGAUAACAGGCUUAUCUCCCCCAAGAGUCCACAUCGACGGGGAGGUUUGGCACCUCGAUGUCGGCUCAUCGCAUCCUGGGGCUGUAGUCGGUCCCAAGGGUUGGGCUGUUCGCCCAUUAAAGCGGUACGCGAGCUGGGUUCAGAACGUCGUGAGACAGUUCGGUCCCUAUCCGUCGUGGGCGUAGGAAAUUUGAGAGGAGCUGUCCUUAGUACGAGAGGACCGGGAUGGACGCACCGCUGGUGUACCAGUUGUUCUGCCAAGGGCAUAGCUGGGUAGCUAUGUGCGGAAGGGAUAAGUGCUGAAAGCAUCUAAGCAUGAAGCCCCCCUCAAGAUGAGAUUUCCCAUAGCGUAAGCUAGUAAGAUCCCUGAAAGAUGAUCAGGUUGAUAGGUUCGAGGUGGAAGCAUGGUGACAUGUGGAGCUGACGAAUACUAAUAGAUCGAGGACUUAACCAUAUAA
rnacentral:rRNA from 1 species